rnacentral:rRNA from 1 species
UAUGUAGGUGGCAAGCGUUGUCCGGAUUUAUUGGGCGUAAAGCGAGCGCAGGCGGUUUCUUAAGUCUGAAGUGAAAGGCCCCGGCUUAACCGGGGAAGGUCAUUGGAAACUGGGGAACUUGAGUGCAGAAGAGGAGAGUGGAAUUCCAUGUGUAGCGGUGAAAUGCGUAGAUAUAUGGAGGAACACCAGUGGCGAAGGCGACUCUCUGGUCUGUAACUGACGCUGAGGCUCGAAAGCGUGGGGAGCAAACAGG